rnacentral:rRNA from 1 species
AACGCUGGCGGCGCGCUUAACACAUGCAAGUCGCACGAGAAAGGGAGCAAUCCUGAGUAUAGUGGCGCACGGGUGAGUAACACGUGGAUGAUUUACCUCCUUGUGGGGAAUAACCCUGGGAAACCGGGGCUAAUACCGCAUAGGUUCGAGAGGAGAAAGCCGAAAGGCGCAGGGAGAGGAGUCCGCGGUCGAUUAGCUAGUUGGCAGGGUAAUGGCCUACCAAGGCGACGAUCGAUAGCCGGCCUGAGAGGGCACACGGCCACACUGGCACUGAAACACGGGCCAGACUCCUACGGGAGGCAGCAGUGGGGAAUCUUGCACAAUGGGGGAAACCCUGAUGCAGCGACGCCGCGUGAACGAUGAAGCCCUUCGGGGUGUAAAGUUCUUUCGACGGGGACGAUAAUGACGGUACCCGGAGAAGAAGGUG